rnacentral:rRNA from 1 species
GACAGAGGGUGCAACCGUUGAUCGGAAUUACUGGGCGUAAAGCGUGUGUAGGCGGCUCUGCAAGUCGGAUGUGAAAGCCCCGGGCUCAACCUGGGAAGUGCACUCGAAACUGCUGAGCUUGAGUAUCGGAGAGGUCGGUGGAAUUCUCGGUGGAGAGGUGAAAUUCGUAGAUAUCGAGGGGAACACCAGUGGCGAAGGCGGCCGACUGGACGAAUACUGACGCUGAGACACGAAAGCGUGGGGAGCAAACAGG